AUACCUCAACAGCCUCGGGCGAAAUUGCUAAUCGUACGCUGUAAACAAGACCGACAGUACGGGGCUGGGGUAACCUUGCUUUGUUUCUUGCUUACAGAGGGUUCGAGUGGGCAGUGGAUAGCAGUUUGAAGACCAUUCCAGGUUGUAAUCAAAUGAAAUGGGCAGAAACAGGAAUGAUUCUUCGGGGAGCGGAGGCGGCCGCGCGCACUUCACGCCGAUCGACACCUACAGGAAGCAAAUAGGAAGGCAAAACUCCAAGAAUGCCCGGGAAGAUAUAAAACGUGCGAAGUUAACUCACCAAAAGAAGGAAAACGCUGCCGAAAACUACAAGGAUAUUUUCACGAUGGUGUUUGGUCUGUUCGUCAUGAUCAUAUCCGUGUAUGGAUUAUUCUACGCGCUGCUGGCCAAGUAGGCGCACAUCACUGCGGUGAUCUCUGAGGGAUGCAAACGGGAAGACCGGUCGAGCACAACGAAGGAGCUUGGCCAGAUGGCUGGCACCGUCUCUUCACGUGUCACCUCGUGGUGGGCAUUACACGGACGGGUCUUAAUCAUUUUGGGGCGAUAACGGGGUAACUAACGCGCGUGCUACAUUCCGCUGGUCAAUCAACCGAGUGCCUUCUGACAAGGAUUAUGUUACAAAUGCAUUGUAUUGCAGUGCUGUGCUGGGCGUGAAGGGACCACUGCUUUUAUUGGCUGUGUGGGUGUAGUGUGUACUGGUGUAAUAUUGUAAUGUAUGUAUUAUAACCCUAAGUUUGGCGAGACGGCAAUAUGAGGCAAUAAAUGUGAAAGUGAGUCAAA